rnacentral:rRNA from 1 species
GAUGAACGCUAGCGGCAGGCCUAAUACAUGCAAGUCGGACGGGAUUUGGGAGCUCGCUCCUAAUGAGAGUGGCGCACGGGUGCGUAACACGUAUGUAACCUACCUUAAUCAGGGGGAUAGCCUCUCGAAAGAGAGAUUAACACCGCAUAAUAUAUUUUUAUGGCAUCGUAGAAAUAUCAAAUAUUUAUAGGAUUAAGAUGGGCAUGCGGAACAUUAGCUAGUUGGUAAGGUAACGGCUUACCAAGGCUACGAUGUUUAGGGGAUCUGAGAGGAGGACCACCACCACAGGUACGGGGCAAGGGACCAGACUCCUACGGGAGGCAGCAGGAAGGAAUAUUGGUCAAUGGGCGAAAGCCUGACCCAGCCAUGCCGCGUGCAGGAAGACGGCCCUAUGGGUUGUAAACUGCUUUUGUACCGGAAUAACCCUUUUACGUGUAAGAGGCUGAAUGUACGGUAAGAAUAAGGAUCGGCUAACUCCGUGCCAGCAGCCGCCGUAA